UACGAAGGGUGCAAGCGUUAAUCGGAAUUACUGGGCGUAAAGGGUGCGUAGGCGGUUCGUUAAGUCUGUUGUGAAAUCCCCGGGCUCAACCUGGGAAUGGCAAUGGAUACUGGCGGGCUAGAGUGUGUCAGAGGAUGGUGGAAUUCCCGGUGUAGCGGUGAAAUGCGUAGAGAUCGGGAGGAACACCGAUGGCGAAGGCAGCCCCCUGGGAUAACACUGACGCUCAUGCACGAAAGCGUGGGGAGCAAACAGG
rnacentral:rRNA from 1 species